GACGAACGCUGGCGGCGUGCUUAACACAUGCAAGUCGAACGGAAAGGCCCUGCUCUUGUGGGGUGCUCGAGUGGCGAACGGGUGAGUAACACGUGAGUAACCUGCCCUUGACUUUGGGAUAACUUCAGGAAACUGGGGCUAAUACCGGAUAGGAUCUCCUGCUGCAUGGUGGGGGUUGGAAAGUUUCGGCGGUUGGGGAUGGACUCGCGGCUUAUCAGCUUGUUGGUGGGGUAGUGGCUUACCAAGGCUUUGACGGGUAGCCGGCCUGAGAGGGUGACCGGCGACAUUGGGACUGAGAUACGGCCCAGACUCCUACGGGAGGCAGCAGUGGGGAAUAUUGCACAAUGGGCGGAAGCCUGAUGCAGCAACGCCGCGUGCGGGAUGACGGCCUUCGGGUUGUAAACCGCUUUCGCCUGUGACGAAGCGUGAGUGACGGUAAUGGGUAAAGAAGCACCGGCUAACUACGUG
rnacentral:rRNA from 1 species